UUCCUACGGGGGGCAGCAGUGGGGAAUAUUGGGCAAUGGGCGCAAGCCUGACCCAGCAACGCCGCGUGAAGGAAGAAGGCUUUCGGGUUGUAAACUUCUUUUAUGAGGGACGAAAGAAAUGACGGUACCUCAUGAAUAAGCCACGGCUAACUACGUGCCAGCAGCCGCGGUAAUACGUAGGAGGCAAGCGUUAUCCGGAUUUACUGGGUGUAAAGGGCGUGUAGGCGGGACUGCAAGUCAGAUGAGAAAAUUAUGG
rnacentral:rRNA from 1 species